rnacentral:rRNA from 1 species
GAGAAGAGUGGACGUUACUCGCAGAAUAAGCACCGGCUAACUCUGUGCCAGCAGCCGCGGUAAUACAGAGGGUGCGAGCGUUAAUCGGAUUUACUGGGCGUAAAGCGCGCGUAGGUGGCUAAUUAAGUCAAAUGUGAAAUCCCCGAGCUUAACUUGGGAAUUGCAUUCGAUACUGGUUGGCUAGAGUAUGGGAGAGGAUGGUAGAAUUCCAGGUGUAGCGGUGAAAUGCGUAGAGAUCUGGAGGAAUACCGAUGGCGAAGGCAGCCAUCUGGCCUAAUACUGACACUGAGGUGCGAAAGCAUGGGGAGCAAACAGGAUUAGAUACCCUGGUAGUCCAUGCCGUAAACGAUGUCUACUAGCCGUUGGGGGAUUUGAUCCUUUAGUGGCGCAGCUAACGCGAUAAGUAGACCGCCUGGGGAGUACGGUCGCAAGACUAAAACUCAAAUGAAUUGACGGGGGCCCGCACAAGCGGUGGAGCAUGUGGUUUAAUUCGAUGCAACGCGAAGAACCUUACCUGGCCUUGACAUAGUAGAGACUUUUCAGAGAUGGAAAGGUGCCUUCGGGAAUCUACAUACAGGUGCUGCAUGGCUGUCGUCAGCUCGUGUCGUGAGAUGUUGGGUUAAGUCCCGCAACGAGCGCAACCCUUUUCCUUACUUGCCAGCAUUUCGGAUGGGAACUUUAAGGAUACUGCCAGUGACAAACUGGAGGAAGGCGGGGACGACGUCAAGUCAUCAUGGCCCUUACGGCCAGGGCUACACACGUGCUACAAUGGUCGGUACAAAGGGUUGCUACACAGCGAUGUGAUGCUAAUCUCAAAAAGCCGAUCGUAGUCCGGAUCGCAGUCUGCAACUCGACUGCGUGAAGUCGGAAUCGCUAGUAAUCGCGGAUCAGAAUGCCGCGGUGAAUACGUUCCCGGGCCUUGUACACACCGCCCGU